CAGCACAGAUCUAUUCUUUCAUGUCUGGGGCAUAGUAAAAAGUUGGCCUUUCGCAGUGGCUAUGAGUAGUUCUUCCAGCCCAAGAAAAUGAGCUGACUUCCACAAGCUCCUGGACAGAAGGUCACGUCUUGACCUCGCUGAGGUGAACAAGUCUUUCACGUCAGUAGUGUUAGACUUUGGCCCCAGUGAAAUUAGGUUGCAUGGGAGACUUGAGAAAGCUUCACUGUGAUGGAAAUAGAACAAGCUGGCUUUACUGCCCUUGUUAUAUAAAAUACAGUAUUGAUUCCAUGCUCAAGAGUUGAGGCUCCGCUGAAUCUCAGUUCUUAAUAAUUCAUAUAAACUGCAAUGGAAAGUGCCACUGUGAGAAGUACCAUCAAUAGAAUGUCUUUGCUGCGGAGGGAGCAUCAAGCAAACACCACGCUGCAUGGGGCAGUAAUUGCAACACUUGCUGCUGAUUUAUUGUCAGCAAGUUCUUUUGUGGAAGGAAUCCUUACUCAGUUCCAGCCAUAAAACUCCGCUGGUUUCAGGAGGAAUUGUGGCGGCUUGCCACUUCUGAGUGUCUGCCUCUGAGCAUUUAGAUCUUUAUUGUAUGUAGAUUUUCUCUAGAAACCCAUUUGCUGCUGAGACCUACAUUAGACACCACAGCUUACAACCGUUCAAAAUUGAAGUGUAAUUUCCAUCUGCAAAGCUGAGCUCAUCGUAGCUCCCCGUGGUGUCACUGGCGAAGCACCAACUCCUUUCAGGUGGAGCUGGACUGGACUCCAGGGUACCCUGAAGAGCCAGUCACCAAUUUAAAUUUAUUGAUGUCGUCAACAGGUGAAACAGGUUAUAAGACUGUGCAAAUCUAAAUUUUGUAGGAAGCAACCAAGCAAGCAGUUAUGUUACAGAAAAUGGACAAAACCUGAGAAUAAUCCGACAGUUGUGUCAAGCACUUCUCGCUACAGUCUUCAAAUCAGAGAGAAAAACCUUCAGCUACCUUGUGAUCCGUGUCGUUCAUGUCCGUCUGAGGAGUUCAGUCACCGCAUCAGCAGCAGCCACGUUCAUUCACAGCUGCGUGGUGCUUGCUGAAUCCUUGUGCUGUCUUUCUGGUGCAUAAUCUAGAAGGCUUUGUUAUAUGUCAAGCCUGCUUAAAUGUUCGUGCGCUUCAAAUAUUCAAAUGCUUCUGUCACACCCACAGAGCACUGGCAGAGCUUCUCUGCCUCAAACCUCUCCUAGGCUGCUGUGGGGGAGGCUUGACUUUUUGGCCAUUGUGGGUGUUAAGUGCCUGCUCUUGAAGUCUGGGCUCAGCCCUGCUAUGAGGUCUCCGUUCACACUUGAGCACAAAUUUUCCCAGCCUCAGACAUGUGGGUACUCAGAACUUCUCAGUUUGUAUAUUCAGGAAUAUGUAAUUACACAAAAUCCACCAGCUUUGCGCAGGGUUUUAAAACACGAUUGCUUUUUAGUUAGUAGAGCAAAAAUACACAAAUUUACUAAUAAGAAAAAAUAAACACCAACAGAAUACUUAUAUUUCCUGCCUCUGUUUCUUUACCAUCAUGGACGUUACUCAGAGUCCUGUAAGGUGAUCAGGUUUUCUUUGCAGUUCUUUGAACCUGCAGUCUCUUUCAGCUCUGCAUUUUGGCUUGAACCUCAGCUAAACCAGAAUAUGUGCACUGCAAAACAUUCCCUUCUCUUCCCUUGUCUUCUGCUCCAAAUUGUGUGUGUGUUGCUGCAAGUCUGUUUUCAUUUCCCAAAGACUGAUAUAUCUUGAUUUAUGUGUUUGGUUUUGGUAAGUUUCUCUGCUGCAAACAGCACUCCUCUGCACAAGGGCUGCAAGAAGUGACUCUUCUUGCUCUGUCACAUCUUCUUCUGAUGAUACCUCCUCAAACAGAUAAGCCUCUUUCCAUCAGUCCUUCCCUUUUUAUUUCCGAUGCAAAUUCAUAAAACUGGAAUUAAAAUUCAUCCUGCUGCAGCAUGUGGUGGUUUCCCUCUCGACAGUUUUCUGAGUGAGAGCAGCAAGUGUGAAGGUGUUGAAAAGCAGCCUGCGGCGCGCCAUGUCAGCUGUACUUCUCUCGCAGGAAACACUGCCGUAGUGAGAUCAAAAACUGAUAUUAGCAUGGUGUCCGGGGCAAUGCUGCCUGUUCUUUUUGUUCCGUUGAAGAACAUGCUAUUUUCUUGCUUUGUCGCUUCAUCUGUAGCACACUGGCUGUGGCAACUGUCAUCAUUAAGGGAUAGUCUAUCAUGCUUUUCAGUGGAAAAUUGGAUUCUUGACAAAAUCAUUUUGGUGGGAAAUCUUCACUUUUUAUCAAAAGUCAUUCAACAAAAGAGAUUUUUUUGCCUGAAACUUUUAGUAACUGUUUCUUUAGUGCAUUGUUGUUGAUUUUUAUGGGAUGUAAGGACGAAUGUGUUAAUAUUUUCUGUCUGUUUUUACGGCACUGACUCUUGUGGUUCUUCAGAAUACCGUUCAAGUGCCAAAGAAUGAGCAGAGGGCCAGUAUCUAUUUCACACUUGUAUCAGGAUGAAUCCAUACUAGCGCCACGGAAGUCAGGGGAGUUUCUUUGUAUGUAUGUCGGUCUGUCCACAGGGCUUCUUGACUGCUGGAGCAGCGGGGGCUGAGCUCCCUCGUGGAGACACGGCUUGUACUGGCAGAAGAGCAGUAAGCUUUUGCCAAUAUACUUCAAACUGGUUUCUCGUACUGCAUAAACUAUGUCUGGAUGAAAACUGGUUUCUGCUGACACUGCUUUUCUCAGGAGAAGAAGAAUAUCCAUCCUCUGCCUGGGACAGUUAAAUGAACAGGCACGUUAUGUGCAGGCAGGAGCUCAGAUGCAGAACCUGCUCCUGAAGGCCACAUGGCAGCCCUGUAAAGCCUUUUUUUCUCUUGUUGCUCACUUGUGGUAAAACCAGGUAGCACCACGGCCUCCCCGCUGUUCCCCCCAGUGGGUACUUGGGUCAGAGCUGUAAAGGUGCGAGCAGAUUUGGGAGGUAAAGCAAUCCCCCCUGUGCUUUCCCUGUGACUAGCUGCAUCGCCGCGGCCUGCCAGCAGAACAGCAGUCUGUCUGCUGGGGGAUAAGCCACAAAGCCAUGGAGGUGCUCCUGGCACCUUCUGAAGUGCAAUCUAAGGUGCAUGUCAGCACUGAUUAAAUGGAAGCUUUAUAGGAGGCGGUUUGGGCCUUGAUUAUUUCAGAAGCACCAGUAGGCAGGGAAGUGGAUCGCUUGAGCUGUCAGCUGGGUGAUUUACUGUGACUCCUAUAGGGAAUAAUGAAGGUUGUGAUAAACUGCAGUGUAAGAAGCCGGUAAAUAACUUUUAUGGUGAGACUGUAUUUGGAAACACUGAAUAACAGCAACUGGUGUCACAGAUCUUAUUGAAAGGCGCUUUCCAGAGUUAGGUAUUUAAAUGGACCUGGUGGGUCUAAGCUAUCCCUGAGAACUCUGCUGCCAUCAACAGAAUGACCUCAGGCUUGAUUGAAAAAAAGGAAAUGCCAUCUGUAACAUUACAUUUUUAUUGAGGAUAUGAAACAAUUAACUCAUUUGGAGAAGAGGAGAUGUGUUUAUGUUAAUGCUGAUUUAUUAUUUUAUUGCUUCUAUAACAAAACAAGACCUCCAAACCAUAGCAUCCACUUGUGUUUUUUUUUAAUCUUGGCCUAUUUAUCAUCAGUUCUUUUUAUCAUGAAGCCCACACAAAUGAAGAGAGACAUUUAUUAUG